GGAACAGCCGCCUCAACCAGGAGCAGGAGACGUCCCUGCACAUCUCAGCUCCCUUUUUCCACAAUGCCCGUCCCUGGAUGGUUGGUGUGGGGGUGCUCCUCGUGCUUUCACUUGUGUUCCUUGGCCUCGCUGCUUAUCUGUGGAGAAGGAAAGUGCUGCAGUCCAGAGAGCUGGGUGAGUCCUUCUGGCCCCUUCCCCCA